rnacentral:rRNA from 1 species
UACGUAGGGUGCAAGCGUUGUCCGGAAUUAUUGGGCGUAAAGAGCUCGUAGGCGGUUCGGCAAGUCGGGUGUGACAACUCCAGGCUCAACCUGGAGAGGUCACUCGAUACUGCUGUGACUAGAGUCCGGUAGGGGAGCAUGGAAUUCCCGGUGUAGCGGUGAAAUGCGCAGAUAUCGGGAGGAACACCAGUGGCGAAGGCGGUGCUCUGGGCCGGAACUGACGCUGAGGAGCGAAAGCGUGGGUAGCAAACAGG